AUUGAACGCUGGCGGCAGGCCUAACACAUGCAAGUCGAACGGCAGCACAGAAGAGCUUGCUCUUUGGGUGGCGAGUGGCGGACGGGUGAGUAAUGUCUGGGAAACUGCCCGAUGGAGGGGGAUAACUACUGGAAACGGUAGCUAAUACCGCAUAACGUCGCAAGACCAAAGUGGGGGACCUUCGGGCCUCACACCAUCGGAUGUGCCCAGAUGGGAUUAGCUAGUAGGUGGGGUAAUGGCUCACCUAGGCGACGAUCCCUAGCUGGUCUGAGAGGAUGAACAGCCACACUGGAACUGAGACACGGGUCAGACUCCUACGGGAAGCAGCAGUGGGGAAUAUUGCACAAUGGGCGCAAGCCUGAUGCAGCCAUGCCGCGUGUAUGAAGAAGGCCUUCGGGUUGAAAAGUACUUUCAGCGGGGAGGAAGGCGGUGAGGUUAAUAACCUCGCCGAUUGACGUUACCCGCAGAAGAAGCACCGGCUAACUCCGUGCCAGCCGCCGCCGUAA
rnacentral:rRNA from 1 species